GUAAACAAACUGAAUCAGAGAGAGAAAGAAAGAAAGAGAGAGAGAGACAGAAGAUAAACACACACAGACACAGACACACACACAGAGGCGAGCAAAAACAGAGAGAAAACAGACAAAUUAACAGAGAAGGAGACAGAAUGGAGGCGAAGGGGAUGACAAACGACCUUCCACCACCACCAACACCACCCAAGAACUACGAUUUUGUCUUUGGGCGCCCGUCUAUUGGUUUAAUCGGCCUCAGCAUCUUCCCGUUUUCGGAGCUUGAUGCAGAACCACUCGGGGUCCUUGAAUUUUACCUUGGAAUUGUGAUCUUUUUGGAUGUCCUCUUGGGGAUGGAAGUCUACACGCCAAGGGCGACUGACGGCAUGGCACCGCUAACAGAGGAGGAGGAGGAGGCGUGGUGGGAGCAGUGGGAGAAGGAGAUGGAAAGAGAAGAAGAGGAGGAGGAGAGAAGACGAAAACUGGAAGAGGAGGAAGAGGGAAGACAAAAAGAGGAGGAGGAAGACUACAACGGCAUAGAUUACUGGAGGGAAGAAGAGGAGGAGGAAGACGUGGAGGUGGAGGAGGAGGUGGAAGAGGACAAGGAGGCCGUGGCAAGAGAACAGGAGAGGUUUCUGCAGUGGGUGGAGCAGUGGGUGGAGGAGAAGGUGGGGGUGGAGGAUGGAAGGCCGUGUGUGCAGAGGUUUGUGUGUGAAUACUAUUACAAACACACAUACUCCUCUUCCUCCUCCUCCUCCUCCUCCUCCUCCUCCUCCUCCUCCUCCUCCUCCGAGCAUCCUUCUCUUCUCAGUCAUCUCGUGCAUAUCUUGUUCGUGCCCCGGGAGACCCACGGAGGGGCCGUCCUGGACCAGUACCGGACAGCGAAGAAGAUUGGGGGGAAGGCGGCGGCGAAGGGGGCGAGGGAAAACUGUGGGGCCUCCUUCCCCUCCUGCCCCCUCUCUGUUUUCAAUGUGCUGGGGGGAUAUUUUUAACCCCCCCCUCCUCUCUCUCUCUCUCUCUCUCUCUCUCUCUCUCUCUCUCUCUCUCUCUCUCUCCUACCCAUAAUCUUUUCUUUCUUCGUUUUUCUCUUUUUCUCUCCUUCUCUCCUCUCCUCUUCUUCCUUUUGUGUUUCUUCUUCUUCUUCUUCUUCUUCUUCUUCUUCUUCUUCUUCUCCCAUCUUCUCUUCUCUAUUGUGUUUUCUCUUUCUCCUCCUCCUCCUCCUCCUCCUCCUCCUCUUCCAGUGUAUCUCAAAUGCCUUCCUCUCCUUCCUUCUUCUUCCCUUCUCUUUUUCUUCCUUCUUCCCUUCAUUCCUCUCCCUCUCGGCCUGUCUGUCUGUCUGUCCGUCUGUCUGUCUGUCUGUCUGUCAAUCUUCAAACUGCCAUGGGAAUAAAGAUGAACAAUUGAAUAAAGUGAAUGAAAGAAAGGAAAAGAAAGACAAACAAACAAACAAGCUAAAGAGGCGAGUCAUGAAGGGGCGGGGCUGAGAAGGAGGAGGGGGGAAAGGGGCGGGGCUGAGAAGAAGGAGGAGAAGUUCGAGAGAGAGACAGAGAGAGAGAGAGGAAAAGGGCAGAAGUAGGGAGGCUGACGGAAUGGAUGGGAAGGGCCUAGUCAGCUCUGUGCCACCGCCGCCAACAAGACCCAGGGGCACAGACGGGGUGUUUGGACGGUUCUCCAUAGGGUUCACUGGCAUUACUGUCCUCCCCUACUCGGAACUGGACGCGGAGCCACUGGGGGUCCUCGAGUUCCUCUUUAAAUACAUCUUCUUCAUCGAUGUCCUCUUGGGUCUUGAGGUCUACACGCCAAGGGUAGCUGACGGCAUGGCACCGCUAACAGAGGAGGAGGAGGAGGCGUGGUGGGAGCAGUGGGAGAAGGAGAUGGAAAGAGAAGAAGAGGAGAGAAGACGAAAACUGGAAGAGGAGGAAGAGGGAAGACAAAAAGAGGAGGAGGAAGACUACAAAGGCAUAGAUUACUGGAGGGAAGAAGAGGAGGAGGAAGACGUGGAGGUGGAGGAGGAGGUGGAAGAGGACAAGGAGGCCGUGGCAAGAGAGCAGGAGAGGUUUCUGCAGUGGGUGGAGCAGUGGGUGGAGGAGAAGGUCGGGGUGGAGGAUGGAAGGCCGUGUGUGCAGAGGUUUGUGUGUGAAUACUUUUACAAACACACGUAUUCCUCUUCCUCCUCCUCCUCCUCCUCCUCCUCCUCCUCCUCCUCCUCCUCCUCCUCUUCCUCCUCCUCCUCCGAGCAUCCUUCUCUUCUCAGUCAUCUCGUGCAUAUCUUAUUUGUGCCCCAGGAGACCCACGGGGGCGCCAUCCUGGAGCAGUACAGGGCAGCGAAGAGGAUUGGGGGGCAGGCGGCAGCUGGGGGCACGAGUAGGAGCUGUGGGGGCGCCUUCCCCUCCUGCCAUCUCUCUGUUUUCAAUGUGCUAGGAGGAUGUUUUUAAUCCCCCCCCCCCCUCUCUCUCUCUCUCUCUCUUUAUUCUUCUUCCUCUCAAUGUCUUCUUUCUCCUCCUCCUUCUCCUCUUCUUUCUUUCCUCCCUUCCUCCUCCCGUAUAUCUGUCUGUCCGUCUGUUUGUCUGUCUGUCUCUGCCAUUCCUUUAAAGUAAAUGAAUAAUAAUGAAUGAUUAAAUAAAAGGAUGUGAUGUAAAUAAUGAAUAAAUUAAUACCUGGUGAAAAAGA